rnacentral:lncRNA from 1 species
AUAUUACGAACGGGAAUGUAUUAAAUGUCUAUUUUUUAUUUUGCAAUAAUUUAGAUAAAAAUACAUAACCUAUUUUUAUUUUCCUUUAGCUUUUAGGCAUAUAAUUAAUACUCCCUCAUUAGCCUAUCUAGUUUAGCAUGAAUUAGUGCUUUUUGAUUAUAUUUAUUUUUAUUAUGACUUUUUGAUUAGCAAUAUUUAUAGUACAUAAUUUAUUAUUUUUUAUUGUUGAAUAUUUUAGGAUAAUGUCAUGAGUCAUGACAUAUCCCAUAUUUUGUAUUAUUUUCUUGA